rnacentral:rRNA from 1 species
GACGAACGCUGGCGGCGUGCCUAAUACAUGCAAGUAGAGCGCUGAAGGAGGAGCUUGCUUCUCUGGAUGAGUUGCGAACGGGUGAGUAACGCGUAGGUAACCUGCCUGGUAGCGGGGGAUAACUAUUGGAAACGAUAGCUAAUACCGCAUAACAGUAGAUAUCGCAUGAUAGCUGCUUGAAAGGUGCAAUUGCACCACUACCAGAUGGACCUGCGUUGUAUUAGCUAGUUGGUGAGGUAACGGCUCACCAAGGCGACGAUACAUAGCCGACCUGAGAGGGUGAUCGGCCACACUGGGACUGAGACACGGCCCAGACUCCUACGGGAGGCAGCAGUAGGGAAUCUUCGGCAAUGGACGGAAGUCUGACCGAGCAACGCCGCGUGAGUGAAGAAGGUUUUCGGAUCGUAAAGCUCUGUUGUAAGAGAAGAACGAGUGUGAGAGUGGAAAGUUCACACUGUGACGGUAUCUUACCAGAAAGGGACGGCUAACUACGUGCCAGCAGCCGCGGUAAUACGUAGGUCCCGAGCGUUGUCCGGAUUUAUUGGGCGUAAAGCGAGCGCAGGCGGUUAGAUAAGUCUGAAGUUAAAGGCUGUGGCUUAACCAUAAUACGCUUUGGAAACUGUUUAACUUGAGUGCAAGAGGGGAGAGUGGAAUUCCAUGUGUAGCGGUGAAAUGCGUAGAUAUAUGGAGGAACACCGGUGGCGAAAGCGGCUCUCUGGCUUGUAACUGACGCUGAGGCUCGAAAGCGUGGGGAGCAAACAGG